GCGGGUAUCGUAUAACGGUAUUAUGUCGCCCUUCCAAGGCGAAGGCGCGGGUUCGACUCCCGCUACCCGCU
rnacentral:tRNA from 1 species